GAAAAGUAGUCCGACUCGGCUUCCAGGUUAAGUUCGCCCCCCCUCGCCCGCCGGCGCCCCUCGUCCUCGGGAACUCUGAAUCGCACGGAGUCCCACAAACACCCCGAAACUUGAAGUCGCGGCCGCCCCUGUCAUCAGGUGUCCCGCGUCCCGGAGAGGCGUGGGAAUCAAAGACUACACCUCCCAGCGGCCCCCGCGCGUCUCAGUGCGCAGGCGUAGCCGCGCCUAGCUCCCCUCCCCCCUCCUCCAACUGCUCCCCUCGGUCCGUUCCCGUAUUCCCCCCAUCAGUUCUAAUGUCCCCUCUGCCUCUCCGGCUCUUCACACUCACCGCGGACUCGCGGCGUCGGGUACAGCCGCUGCGCCUUCUCCAGGAAGCGGAGCGCCCGGUCGGGCUGGUUGCUCUGGAUGGCCUUGAGGGCGAUGCUAAUACAGCGCUCGGCUUCAUCCUUGUUGGAUUCCAUGGCGGAACCAGAGCGCGGAACCAGGGAGGGGGAGGCCGGGCGAGCGGAGGGCUGCGCCAGCCGCCGGCACGUCGCGGGGCAGGCGGGCGCAGGGUGAUGACACAAACCCCCUCGCCCCUCCUUUCCCGAGAUUUGAGCGAGAGUUGAGCGAGGGCGGAAGUGCUACCGUAUGUCUCCUAAGAGGGGCGCGGCUAGGAGAGGUAUUGCCGAGGGUGCGUGCCCAACCAUCCUGGGUCAUGCUGGGGCCCCUGAAGUGGACCAUGUGCUUGCGCGUUCUUGGAAGUGACUCUGUGGCCUUGAGCCGAAGGUCAUUUAUCGAUUUCGUCCAACAGGCAUUUGCCAGGCUGGGUGUGCGCAGUGGAGUGGAGCGGAAGGAAGGAAAGGACUGCAAGUAAGUAAGUGAGAUGGAGUUAGAUUUCCAUUUUGGAUGGAUUUCUCUGGCUGGAUAUGGGGAUAGGACAAGAGAACCACAUAACUGGAAUACAGGAAUCAAUCGGGAAGACUACUGCCAUAGUCCAGCAUUCAACCUUUCACUUGGCCUCAGUCACCUCUAUGUAUUCACCACAGCGCCCCCAAGGUUGGCAGAUACAAGUACCAGAGCAAGGCAGAGAUGCAAGGAGGGGAUGCAGGAGAGAAACUGCUUGGAGUCACCAGACUCUGAGCUUUGCUCUGGCUCCACCACCCAUUUGCUGGGUGACCCUGAUGAAGUCUCUUGAAAUCGCUUUAAAUUUAAUUUUUUCAUAUUCAUAUGAGGGGAUGCCACAAAAUAACUGUUGAGGGGCUUAGCAGUCCAAAGAACAGUUUGUUGGUGUUUUUGAGAAUCUGAGGGUGGAGGUAUACAGAGACAGCUGAGGAUCUCUAUGACAAAGGGUAUAGGAAAGUCGUAUUGGCCACAAGUUAGGCUAUGCCUUAGUGUUCACAGCCUCUGGCUUGAGGGGGACGGCUGCCCAGGAGGGCAAGAAGAGCCAAUUUUCUCACCCACACCCAGGAUGUUAGUUAGGGUGAAGGAGGAAUCAAGAUCCCUUGGAACUUCAAGACUUCAGCAGAAGGUAUUUCAGCGGAUGUUCAUGAGAUGUGGUUAACUGCCGACAGGGGAGCUGGAGAAUCUGCACAACUGCAGAAGUUCUGGGGUUUAAAAACUUUGCCUUGUAGGUCUAGAUACUUGAUUUUCUCUGCUGGCCCAGGAAGAACUGAUUCCUGCUAACUAAACUGCCCAAGGAAGGAACAGAAAUCAGCAUGCCAAUUUACAACAAGAAUAGUAACUGUUAAGAGAACUAAAAUGGUAACAGCUGGUUAUUAUACUUCUCAGUUGGAAAAUCUAACUAAGGAAAUUCAAUUCAUCUCAGAAGAUUGCUCAGUGCAAACAGAAUCGGAUCAGAAGGAACUGGAUGCCUCAGACUGUGAUAGAACUAUCCUUUGCAGUCACAGAAUAUGUUCUGAGAAGUGGAUUAAAACCGGCUUUGUAUUCGAUAAACAGUCGCUUUGUUAUUAACCAUUCCUUUGUCUGCAUUUCACAUCAAU